AGCGAACGCUGGCGGCAGGCUUAACACAUGCAAGUCGAACGGGCAUAGCAAUAUGUCAGUGGCAGACGGGUGAGUAACACGUGGGAACGUACCUUUUGGUUCGGAACAACUGAGGGAAACUUCAGCUAAUACCGGAUAAGCCCUUACGGGGAAAGAUUUAUCGCCGAAAGAUCGGCCCGCGUCUGAUUAGCUAGUUGGUAGGGUAAUGGCCUACCAAGGCGACGAUCAGUAGCUGGUCUGAGAGGAUGAUCAGCCACACUGGGACUGAGACACGGCCCAGACUCCUACGGGAGGCAGCAGUGGGGAAUAUUGGACAAUGGGCGCAAGCCUGAUCCAGCCAUGCCGCGUGAGUGAUGAAGGCCCUAGGGUUGUAAAGCUCUUUUAACGGGGAAGAUAAUGACGGUACCCGUAGAAUAAGCCCCGGCUAACUUCGUGCCAGCCGCCGCAGUAACAC
rnacentral:rRNA from 1 species